CAGAUUUAAUAUGAAACUGUAUACAUACAGGAUGUGUGCUCUACUACUGACCCAUAGCCCCUCUCCUUUGACAUACCAAUGUUUAUAGGUGCUUCAUCUGGAAAAAGACUUGUGACCAGCAGCCUGAUACGUGCACCAAAGCAUGUUUGAUGUCAGUGCCUGGAUUAUCCUUCUCUGGAUUGAGGCUCAUGACCUUCCUAAUGCAACUCCGCAUCCAAGAGAUCUUCUGAAUUAAUCUUUCUAAGACUGUGUCUAAUUCUAAGGAGUCUUAUUACAAAGUGCAUCCCACUGAUCUCUGCAAAGACACAUUUCCAAGGUAACACACAUAGGAUUGUUGUCAGGCUUAGACUAUUGAGGGUGGGCUGUUUAAUCCUAACUGUCCUGAUUAGGGUUCACAUGACUCAUGCCUUCCCUUUAGGCGUGGAACUGCUUUGAGUAAAUCAUCCUAUCUCAGUGUUAAUUCUCCACGGACAAUCUGAAUAUCCAGUGUGAAAGGCAGGCCAUUUACCCAAGUCUACACCAGGACUCUCCAGAUGUUGCAACUCCCAAAUACUUCCUAUCAUUAGUUAUGUAAGGAAUAGCAUGUCACUGCAACAAUUGUACAUGCUCAGAGACAUGUUUCAAUGCAAGAACAAUGACUGAUGAAGAUCUGUGAAUUAGACAAGAUGAACAAAUUGACUAUGCUGAUUAAGGAGAAAUUUCUGAUUAACUUUAAGAAAGAUUAUAACCUGCACAUUGUUUUUGCAUAUCAAUGAUAGGGGCAUUUAUGAACUGUGGGAUUCAUGAAUUAGUAAAGUGUUGCAAAAAUCUUACGUAUUUAUUAGAAAAGUAGCAGCAAACUAGCAAUGGCUAUUAUGGGUAGAAAAUGUCAUUUGUUGCAAUUCUCUCAUUCCAUUAAGAAGUUGUUGUUGUUCUUGUUCUUGUUGUUUGUCUUGAAAUAAUUUCAAGUUGUGGUAAUUCUAAGGUGACCCUGUCAAGGGGUUUUCUUGGCAGGAUUUGUUGAGAAGGGGUUUGCGAUAAAGAAUGGACCAAACUGGAGA
rnacentral:lncRNA from 1 species